AGCCAGCUUCCGCUUCCGCUAGCAAAUCGGCGCGUCGGCUUCGCUCAUUUUGUUCUGCGGGAGAGGUUUGCCAGUAACAAAUGUGGCUCCCCUCUGACUGGCUGAACUCCACGUGCGCCGUCUCUGCAGAAAUACUGGAGAUCCGUCCUAAUACCACUAAGCUGAGCAGUAUGCAGUUUCCUCUGGCAUUUUUACCAGUAGUGGCAGUGAUUGGAGGGGUAUUUUUCUUUAUUACGCCACAUCGCAUAAAGAAGAAACAGAAAAUAGCAGAGGAGACGAUAGCCGUCAUUAGCAAGAAAUAACCAGGGUGCCGUAAGGAGAUUUGACAAACUGAACAGAACACCCAGGGCUGUGACAAAGAUAUUUAAUCUUCAUUAUUUGGAGACGCAAUCAAAACCCCUCCAUAAUUCGCCAGUCCAUAACUCAGACCAAGGCCUCAAUUCUGCACUGAAAAGACUGUUCGGGAAUUAUAGACAUUCACAGAAUUGCAGGGAGACUGAGUAUUCCCUGUGAAGAUUUCAUUAUGUAACAGUUGUACGUCACCAGUAUAGAACAUGUACAGAACUGCCUUGAAUGUGCUCAACAGAUAUUUUUUUUUAUGUUUAUAUA